GCCACUGGGCCAACACCCGUGGGGGGCGGGGAAGGGCGGGAGGGGAGCGGACCGGUUGGAGAGGGGCUCCUUCAAGCUGGCUGCAGUGCGGACUGGACCGGCGCGCCCCCGCGGCCUCGGGACCAGGUGAUCAAAAGUGCCCUGACACCCAGAGGUCUGCGUGAGGGGCGGCCACCAAAGGAAGGGGUCUCAGGCCACAGGAGCUGAAGAGUCUGGACAGAUGAACUCUGGAGUCUCAGGAAAAUAAAAGUUUUAUCUCCUGAGGAACCUUGAAGAUUCUUUUAAAGGUGAAACGUUUCGUCUUUCGAAUUGCACACCUUCUCAUCUGAGCUUAAAGGAGACGUUAAGUGUGAUAUUUUGAACUAUGUUUAAAUGAAGAUGAGAUAGAAGACAAUAGAACUGUUAGAAAUAUGUAAGUUUUAUUGUACAGCCAAAUAAGGAUUCAGCUGUUGUAGUGUGUUCUUUAAGAUUCCUAGUUUCUAUGUAAUUCUCUAAUUUUGUUUCAUUCUAUUGAACUACUCCUGAUUUCACCCUGAAAAUCUGACCUGAAACUCAAUUACAGAAAUACUGCCAAUGAAUUUAAAAUCAAAUGGGAACAUUUGUAUAUGAAUACGAUACAAUAUUGUUGAUUCACAUUUCUUUCCAUAUUAAAGACUAUUCUGAACUCUAAAUCUUUUAAAUAAAUGAGACUGAAAUCC
rnacentral:lncRNA from 1 species